rnacentral:lncRNA from 1 species
CAAGAAUGAAUACUUGGGUAUAAUCUGCUCUUGCUGUUGGGUAAGGCAGUUCCUCUCUGAUGCCCUGCUCUCAGCAUUUGUAUUCUCUGGCAGCUCUUCAGAUGAGGAAGCUGAGACACAAUCACGGAAGAGCAAGAUUUAAAAGCCGGCAGUCUGACUCCUGAUCUCUCACUCAUCCACUACUGUAGACAGCCUUCUCUGUGUUUCAUUAGCACAUAACAAGAAUUCAUGCUCUCGGAGUACAAA